rnacentral:rRNA from 1 species
AGUGAACGCUGGCGGCGUGCUUAACACAUGCAAGUCGAACGAGAACGGAUUAUAGCUUGCUAUAAUUGUCAGCUAAGUGGCGCACGGGUGAGUAAUGUAUAGGUAAUAUGCCUCUUACUAAGGGAUAACAAAUGGAAACGUUUGCUAAUACCUUAUACUCCUUAUUAACAGAAGUUAAUAAGGGAAAGAUUUAUUGGUAAGAGAUUAGCCUGUAUUGUAUCAGUUAGUUGGUGGGGUAAUGGCUUACCAAGACUAUGACACAUAACUGGUUUGAGAGGAAGAUAAGACACAUUGGAAAUGAGACACGGUCACAACUACUACGGGAGGCAGCAGGGGGGAAUUUUGAAAAAUGGAAGAAAGUCUGAUGCAGCAACGCCGCGUGGAGGAUGAAAAUUUUCGGGGCUAAAACUCCUUUUAUAUGAAAAGAUAAUGACGGUAUUAUAGUAAAAAGCCCCGGCUAACUCCGUGCCAGCACCCCCCGCCG